rnacentral:rRNA from 1 species
GGCUAGCGUUGUUCGGAAUCACUGGGCGUAAAGCGCACGUAGGCGGAUCUUUAAGUCAGGGGUGAAAUCCCGAGGCUCAACCUCGGAACUGCCUUUGAUACUGGGGAUCUCGAGUCCGGGAGAGGUGAGUGGAACUGCGAGUGUAGAGGUGAAAUUCGUAGAUAUUCGCAAGAACACCAGUGGCGAAGGCGGCUCACUGGCCCGGAACUGACGCUGAGGUGCGAAAGCGUGGGGAGCAAACAGG